rnacentral:lncRNA from 1 species
CUUACAGUUAUUUCCAUUCUCCUUCUCCUCCAAGUCCAUGGUAGAGAAUAACGUCCUUGUCUCCUUAGCAGUUAGUGAUGAAAACAAGCAAGCCCCCCACCUGCAACUCACGAGUAAAAGCCUCUCACAAAAUUCUGGAAACCGUAAAAAGGAAAAACCAUUUCUCUGUGGACCAGGAAUGCUCAUAAUUUGCAGAGGACGAUGCUGAUACUCCUGCUCUGAGGACCACAUUCUGAGUAGCGAGGAGAUGGAACACACCCAGGAGUAAGGGACCAGAGAAGGCCGAUUGGUGGCUAACUGAGCAGAAACAGAGACGGGAAACAAGAACGGAAGGUGAUAAGGUCAGACAAAUGGACCCAGAGGUACCUACUGGAUAUCAAAGUGACCUCGCUGGUAAUUAGGAUGCAAGACCUCUGGCCAGCCCUGGGUAGCACUGAUUCACAAUAGGGCUGUUUAUCUCGAAAUAUUGUACAUUGAAGUAUAAAUCUGUAUGAGUACCUCUCUGAACAGUCAUGGGCCAUCGUGUAGUGGUCAAGAACACUGGCUUUGAAACCAGAUAUCGUGGAUCAAAUCCCAGCUGUAUCACUGACUAGCAUAAGACCCCGUUUCUCAAUUCUCUGUGCUUCCCUUUUCUCAUCUGUAAUGUGGUGGCAAUUGUACCUACCUCAUAACUUUGUUUUGUAAAGUGCAGGGACCAUUGCCAGGCACAGAAAAGAAUGACCCUAUUGGGAAGGCAGAUGGGGACUGACUCAAAGAAGUUGAACCAUUCACUCUUCAGCCAAAAGGUACAGCUUCCAAAGGCAGCUGUGGGGUUGUUCGAUUUUCCCAGUGUAAAGAAAACUGCCCUUAAAACUGACUCUGGGGAGAUUUUAAUUUUCCUCUUAUAUAAAAGCAAUAUAUGGUCAUUCAGCCAUCUGUUUAUUUAAUUAACCAUGAAACAAACAUUUCUUGAGAUCCUACUAUGCUCCUACCCUAAUUUUCCACAUACUCCUGUGUGCUCUUUGAUAUUCAAAAAAAAUCAUCUCAGAAAUGUGUUUGGUUAAUACACAAUCUGAUAGAAACUGAAUAAGUCUGCUAGUUCUGAACUAUUAGGAUUAUAUAGCAUAAAAUAAGGUCCUGGCUUUUUAUUAGUAAUGUAAUCAUGUUGGAUUAGAUGAAUGAACACUGUUGGUCCUGUUAUAUUUAAAACUUUGGGUUUACUUAUCUGGCCACUGUUACAUUGGAAAUAAAGGUAUUAAUAAUUUGUUAUGGGCAUUAAAAGUGAGAUUCUCGGCUACAGUGUGAUAUUUGAAAUUGGAACCAAAAGAGGAUCCCAGGAUAUGAAUUGGGGCUCUUGAGAUAUGGCAGACUUGCACAGUGCACAACCUGAACAUUCAUUCAUGACACCCCUGCUUAGCUCAAUAACUUAAAACACAGCAAACAAAUAUUAACUCAUCUGAGGACUUUUCACAGUAAAAUUCAGGCCAAGCUGGAUCAGUAUAUUUUUUCCCUGAGUUACAUAAAAGGCACUAAUAAAGAAAGCUGUUUGAGCAAAACUUAUCAAAUAUGAUAUUCACUUUUUUAUUUUAUUGGUAUUACUUACAAGUAUUUCUGUUUAAAUGGCCAGAUUUAAUUAAGUUAUAAAUAUGACUGUUUUAUUAUAGCUAAGUAACUCUUACAGAGACAACGUAAUAAAGAAAAUGUCCAACUCUACAAAAUAAAAUUUUUCUAGGGAGGAAAAAUAAUUCUAGUUUCAGCUUUCAGUUGGGUGGAAAAUAAAACUAAUAAAAAUAAAAAAAUAUUAAUAGCAAUUUGGGGAAAAUCGUCAGCUUUUCAGGUGUGACACUCCUAAAAUAUGUUCUAGGUCUCCAAUUUACAGUGCAAUAAAGUUGUUUCACUCUACAUACAAAGCCAUAUUGGUGGUUAAUUUGCUGUGUUUUUUGUAAUCACUGCAGCAGUAAAGCUGUCAUUUUUCCUCUCAUGACAUGUGUCUCAGUUUGUCAUAACUCAGCAUAUCAGCAUUUUAUUUUGUUUUGUUUUGUUUCCAAUCUAGUUGGCCAAGAAAAAGAAACCAACUGACCUCCUUCCUAAGGCUCACAGGCUGGGCACACAUAAAAUCCGACCAGAGGAUCUUGCAUCCAGCUGGUUCUAACCACUGAACAGCAGAGUCAUGUUUUCCACUCUGAGUUACUAGUGCCAUGUUUUUUGUUAUUGCUGUUGUUGUUUUGCUUUGCUUCCUUUAGGAGUGUGUGUUUAGACAUGGAGGAUUGUGCAGAUAGGAUUUUGAUGAUCCAAUCAAAAUGGGGAAUUGUUCAAAGAUCAAUCUUUUCUCAUUCUGCCAUGUGAUGCAAUGUGGUGGGUGGAAUAGAGGGAUGUUCUCAAACUUCGACGUGUGUAACCAUCCUCCAGGGUUCCAGUUAGGAAUCCAGAUUCCUGGGUUCCAUCCAAAAGACUGCAGCAUCCAGCCUGAGGCAAUGGGUCCUGAAUGACUGGCUUUGUGGUUAGAGUAGGUUCUCAGUAUUUACAUACGAGGAUGAGGAGAAAAUGGUAGGUGAGAAGGGGAGGGUAGACCCAUGGACGAGAGCCUUUUGUCCACUCUAAAAGACUAAGAGAAUCAACAAUGACAAUGAUAGUGAUUAUGAUAUAGUUUACAUCAUCCCCGAAACACAAGAUGCCACGAAGCCAUAUUAGAAACAAAUCAAACAAACAAACAAAAUCCUCAGAGUUCCCAAUGUAGGUCUUUUUUUGGGGGGAAUUUUGGGUAAUGAAUUUCUAGUCCCUUCACUGCAUUAAUGGAAAUAAUUGAGUAUCUUUGGUGGUUGGUCCAAGGGUCUGCCAUUUGCCAUUGAAAUAACAUGGAAAUUUGCCUUCAACAAGAUAUCUGAAAAGUCUGAGUUUGGGCAGAAGCUUUUUGACUGGGAAAAUCUUUCUCCUCUGAAUCUUCUAAACUUUGG